rnacentral:rRNA from 1 species
ACCGGCGCACGGUGAGUAACACGUAUCCAACCUGCCGAUGACUCGGGGAUAGCCUUUCGAAAGAAAGAUUAAUACCCGAUGGCAUAGUUCUUCCGCAUGGUGGAACUAUUAAAGAAUUUCGGUCAUCGAUGGGGAUGCGUUCCAUUAGGUUGUUGGCGGGGUAACGGCCCACCAAGCCUUCGAUGGAUAGGGGUUCUGAGAGGAAGGUCCCCCACAUUGGAACUGAGACACGGUCCAAACUCCUACGGGAGGCAGCAUG